UACGUAGGCGGAAAAUUAAGCCAGUAGUGAAAUCCUGCAGCUUAACUGUAGAACUGUUAUUGAUACUGGUUUUCUUGAAUAUAGUUGAGGUAGGCGGAAUGUGUAAUGUAGCGGUGAAAUGCUUAGAUAUUACACAGAACACCGAUUGCGAAGGCAGCUUACUAAGCUAUGAUUGACGCUGAGGUACGAAAGCGUGGGGAGCGAACAGGAUUAGAUACCCUGGUAGUCC
rnacentral:rRNA from 1 species